AACUUUUGGCAAUGGAUCUCUUGGUUCUGGCAUCGAUGAAGAACGCAGCGAAAUGCGAUAAGUAAUGUGAAUUGCAGAAUUCAGUGAAUCAUCCAAUCUUUGAACGCACAUUGCGCCCCUUGGUAUUCCGAGGGGCAUGCCUGUUCGAGCGUCAUUAUAACCACUCAAGCCUCGGCUUGGUCUUGGGGUUCGCGGUCUCGCGUCCCUUAAAAUCAGUGGCGGUGCCGUCUGGCUCUAAGCGUAGUAAUUCUCUCGCUAUAGGGUCCCGGCGGUUGCCUGCCAGAACCCCCCAUUUUUUACGGUUGACCUCGGAUCAGGUAGGGAUACCCGCUGAACUUAAGCAUAUCAAUAAGCGGAGGCU
rnacentral:misc_RNA from 1 species